ACGACGGACAUGAUGAUGACACUCUUCCGGUACCUAUUGGAGAUGGAUUCAAUAACUUAGGCAGGGCUCUUGCUAGUUUUGUGCAAUGGCCAAUUCACUUGGUGAUUUUCGAAGAAGACGAGGAGUACUCUACUCCACGCCCAACAAAGAAGUCCAGGAGUCAGAUUUUUGAAGAGGUGGUUGGUAGCUCCAAAGAGAAGAAAAACGAAUUAAUUGUCAAAGAGAAGACAACAGAAUUAGUUGUCAAAGAUAAGACAACAGAAUUAAUUGUCAAAGAGAAGGCAACACUUGAUUUAGGGUCCAAAGAGAAGACAACACCGAAGUUAACGGCCAAGGAAAAUUCAUGCUCAAAUAAGUUGGAGUCGAAAUCGAAGAACUCUAAGAAAUCCAAAGAGAUGGUAGGUAGUUGUGAUCGUAAAACUGAAGAAUCAGCCGCCAAAAGUAAGAAGCAAAAUUUGGCAGACGACACAAUUCAAGGUCUUGGCCCAUCAUGCAAUUAUUUGAAGUUUAUCAUCAAUACGGCGCCCGGUGAUGUAUAUAAAAAUACUUCAAUCCCAUUGCCCGCUUCGGUUUGGCAUUAUGACGAAGAUCGACAAACUUAUGUAAAUGAGGUUGACGUUGAAGAGUUCCUUAGAGGGGCGUGCCUCAACAUUUCAGUGAUCCAAGUCUAUAUGAUGUGUUUAUUCCACGAACACACCUUUGCAUUUGACAACUCUCAGAUUGGGUUUGUUUGUCCCGAGGCAAUGUCAAGCUCUAGAAUCAAGGCCAACCCUUAGGCUGCAUCAAUGUAUUUGAAAGUAGUUUUCAAUGCUGAAAUUGAAAAGGAGAAGAAGGGUGAUCCUAACAUUACCAAGUGGUUUUUGAUCCCAUACCAUCAAGAAAAUCAUUGGAUUUUGUACGUGUUAGACCUACGUAGAGGUUGUGCGUAUAUUUUCGACUCUGCGAUAGGUUCCAACCGAGAAAAUAGUGCAUGGGGAAUCUUGUGUUUGGCAUACCAAGUGUACAAGUUUAAUGAUGGGAUUUGUCCGAAUAGAGCGACUAUGCAGGGGUUGAAAGGCUUCCAUGUAAAGUGUGCUCAACAAGUCGGCGCCCGCGAGUGUGGCUAUUACGUUAUGAAGUUCAUGCAUGAAAUAGUCACGUUACACCAUAACACUGAUGAGCGGUUAGACAAUGCUUACACUCCAAGAAAUGCGCCUUAUACCGAUGAGGAAAUAGAUGUGGUUCGUGAGCAAUGGGCUAAGUUUUUUACAACCGAGUAUUUAUUUACUUAGGUUGUUUAGACACAAAGAUGGAAGCGUUUAUAUCUUCAUGGAUUUGGCUAGGGAUCGAGUCGAUUGGAAGAAAGUCAACACGACCUUACUUAAGGUUUGUAAUGCAUGAUCUAAAGGGACCUAAGUGGCUGGAUUAGAGACAUUUGUUAGAUUAGCUCUCUAGCCUUUUGUCUUUAGUUGUUAAUAUUAGUUGUAAUUUGUUAGACUAGCUAGGUGUUUAAAAAUUGUAAACAUACGUACUAUAUAUACGCUUUGCU